AGCCAAUGAUGACAUUUAUACAAUACUUUUCUGACACCUACUAUGACAGCUGGACUACAGCUUGUGAUUCUUACUUUAAUCCUGAGGCUU